rnacentral:rRNA from 1 species
CCUACGGGGGGCUGCAGUGGGGAAUAUUGGACAAUGGGCGAAAGCCUGAUCCAGCCAUGCCGCGUGUGUGAAGAAGGCCUUCGGGUUGUAAAGCACUUUCAGUGGGGAAGAAAGCCUUGGGGCUAAUACCCUCGAGGAAGGACAUCACCCACAGAAGAAGCACCGGCUAACUCCGUGCCAGCAGCCGCGGUAAUACGGAGGGUGCGAGCGUUAAUCGGAAUUACUGGGCGUAAAGCGCGCGUAGGCGGUCUGAUAAGCCGGUUGUGAAAGCCCCGGGCUCAACCUGGGAACGGCAUCCGGAACUGUCAGGCUAGAGUGCAGGAGAGGAAGGUAGAAUUCCCGGUGUAGCGGUGAAAUGCGUAGCGAUCGGGAGGAAUACCAGUGGCGAAGGCGGCCUUCUGGACUGACACUGACGCUGAGGUGCGAAAGCGUGGGUAGCAAACAGGAUUAGAUACCCCAGUAGUC